UCCGCACACCAGUGAAUAUGCCCUAAAUGUAAAACGGAGCAGGUAUCAGGCACGAACAUCAGCCCAAAACACCAAGCUUUGCCACACCCACACGGGCCUUCAGCAGUGAUUAACAUUAAGCAAUAAGCGACAAAUACUACUAAAGCUUGACUUAGUCAUGAUUAUUAGGGCCGGUCAACCUCGUGCCAGCCACCGCGGUUAUACGAGGGGCCCAAAGUAACAGAUCCCGGCGUAAAUCGUGGUUAGAAUACAAACACCCAUAUAUUAAAAGCUAAACCAUAGUCUAUUAGUAAAAUAUGGACUAAAUGAAAUCAUACACUCUUAACACUAAGGGAGAUUUGACCCACGAAAACUAAGAAACAAACUAGGAUUAGAUACCCUACUAUGCUUAGUCCUUAAUAUGACACUAAACUACACCGGUGUCCGCCAGAAGAUUACGAGCGAAAAGCUUAAAACUCAAAGGACUUGGCGGUGCUCCAUACCGACUUAGAGGAGCCUGUCCUAUAAUCGAUACUCCACGCUAAACCUCACCACUCUUUGCCCACACAGCCUAUAUACCGCCGUCACCAACUUACCCCAUGAGGGAUAAACAGUAAGUAAAAAAGUCAAACACUAAAACGUCAGGUCAAGGUGUAGCUAAUAGACUGGUUAGAGAUGGGCUACAUUUUUAAAACUUAAAAAAACGGCAUGGCAUUUUGAAACUAAUUCCUAAAGGAGGAUUUAAUAGUAAAAUUAGCAAGAAAGCUAAUUUUAAACACG
rnacentral:rRNA from 1 species